rnacentral:rRNA from 1 species
GAUGAACGCUGGCGGCGUGCCUAAUACAUGCAAGUCGAGCGAACAGACGAGGAGCUUGCUCCUCUGACGUUAGCGGCGGACGGGUGAGUAACACGUGGAUAACCUACCUAUAAGACUGGGAUAACUUCGGGAAACCGGAGCUAAUACCGGAUAAUAUAUUGAACCGCAUGGUUCAAUAGUGAAAGACGGUUUUGCUGUCACUUAUAGAUGGAUCCGCGCCGCAUUAGCUAGUUGGUAAGGUAACGGCUUACCAAGGCGACGAUGCGUAGCCGACCUGAGAGAGGGAUCGGCCACACGAGAACGGGGACGCGGUCCAGACGCCUACGGGAGGCAGCAGUAGGGAAUCGGCCGCAAUGGUCGAAAGCCUGACGGAGCAACGCCACGUGAGUGAUAAAGGUGUUCGGAGCGUAAAACUCUGUUAUGAGGUAAGAACAAAUGUGUAAGUAACUAUGCACGGCUUGACGGUACUUAAUCAGAAAGCCACGGCUAACUACGUG